rnacentral:rRNA from 1 species
GGGCCCGCACAAGCGGUGGAGCAUGUGGUUUAAUUCGAUGAUACGCGAGGAACCUUACCAGGGCUUAAAUGUAGUGGGACAGGUCUAGAGAUAGACCCUUCUUCGGACUCAUUACAAGGUGCUGCAUGGUUGUCGUCAGCUCGUGCCGUGAGGUGUCAGGUUAAGUCCUAUAACGAGCGCAACCCCUAUCGUUAGUUGCCAGCGGGUCAUGCCGGGAACUCUAGCGAAACUGCCUACGCAAGUAGUGAGGAAGGAGGGACGACGUCAAAUCAUCAUGGCCUUUAUGCCCAGGGCUACACACGUGCUACAAUGGCCGGUACAGAGGGCAGCAAUACCGCAAGGUGGAGCGAA